AUGGAUUUGGAAACAUGCAUAAUUGGGCCAGAACUAGCCCAUAAAACGUCUCCAUUAGCCCAAAUCCGUAGUGUUGGGCUUAGAUUUCAACUGUUUCCCCAAACAAAGCAAUAGCGACAAAACAGUGACCAAAAUCUUAUUAUUCACCCAAACCAGAAAACACCCCCCAAUACCCAAUGAUCUUACUAAAUGUAAGAUCUAUAUGAACAGAUGUUCAGAUCAACUGAUUUAAUCAGUUGAUCUAUAUGAAUACAAUACAAACAAGAACAAUACAGAAAGAAACAACCUGAUCUACAAAGCUUGAUCUCACAGUUGAGAUCUCACCAACAACACCAGCAGAUCAGUACAAUACAACAACAAGAAAUACAAAGGGUGAAACUAGAUCGGAGUGAAUGUGGAAGAUGAACAGAGAUGAUGGAUCUAGAACAAUGAGAGAGAAACUCUCAUUAUAUACCACAAAUAUCUAAUGUUACAUCCAGCACCCUUGAACUAUCUCCCAAUAUACACCGACUCAAUGAAAGUUGCAAUAAGGCCCUCCAACUAUAUCAAUCUGUUACAACAACUUUGUCAAUCAGUUAGAGAUUAUAAAAUGGAAUAUUUGAAUGAACACUUUAUAUAAAAACAAUAUAAGCUAUCAUUCUUUCAACAUCCCCUCUUCAUUCAAAUAUGAAAACCAAUUAACCAUCCCUAACUUUUCACAGAAUACCUUAUGCUGCUCAACACUCAACCCUUUUGUAAAACCAUCUGCAGGUUGACUCUCAGAGUCAACCUUAACUGUUUCAAUAAUUCCUGAACCAACUUUUUCUCUCAGAAAAUGAAGGUCAACCUCAAAAUGCUUGGUUUUUUCACGGAAGACAGGAUUGGCUGCUAUAGAUAUAGCAGCUUUACUGUCACAGUAUAAUUUAACUGGUAAUUCACAGUUAACACCAACUUCUCUCAAUAAGUUCAGCAACCACAUAAUCUCACAUGUUGCCGAACACAUGGCACGAUAUUCUGCCUCACCUGUAGACCUAGAAACAGUACUCUGUUUCUUGCUUUUCCAAGAAACUAAUGAACCACCAAGAUAUACACAAUAACCAGUCACAGACUUUCUUGUAGAUAGACAUUUAGCCCAGUCUGAGUCUACAAAACCAACUAAACCCAACUUAUCAUCCUUUUUAAACAGCAAACCACAACCUGGACCUGACUUGAGAUACCUUAAUAAUCUUAAAGCAAUCUGCAAGUGCAUAUCAGUUGGGCUGUGCAUAAACUGACUCAGAAACUGCACAGCAUAACUGAUAUCCGGUCGUGUCAAAGAAAGAUAAAUCAACUUACCAACCAGCUUUUGAAAACCAGUAAUAUUUUUCAAAACACUUUGGUUUUUAGAAAUCUUGGCAGUUAUUAGAUAACUUUGUUCAAUGGGUGUUUUAAUAGGUUUACAAGCUAAAUACCCAAACUCACUUAGAAGUUCUAAGCAAUAUUUUCUUUGAUUCAAACACACACCAGACUUGUUAUACAAAACCUCAAUACCCAAGAAAUAUUUCAACUUACCUAAGUCUUUGAUUUGAAAAUUCAAAUUCAAAACACCCUUAAUUUUAUUCACUUCAUCAAUAUUAUUCCCAGUAACAACAAUAUCAUCCACAUACACAAGAAGCACAAUAAACACACCAUUUCUAGACAACACAUACAUAGAAUGGUCACAUUUACUUUGCACAAAACCAUAAUCAACAAGAACACUGCUCAACUUUUCAUUCCACUUCCUAGGGGCCUGUUUCAGCCCAUACAACGAUUUAACCAAUUUACAAACUCUAGUCUCAUCAGGAGAAUAAUAACCCUUAGGCAAACACAUAUACACAUCUUCAUUAAUAGUGCCAUACAAGAAGGCAUUAUUAAUGUCAAGCUGAAACAUAGGCCAAUCAUUUUGAACAGCAAGGGCAAUUAUACAUCUCACAGUUACCAUUUUCACUACCGGUGAAAAGGUUUCCCCAAAAUCCAAGCCUUCCCUUUGAUUAAACCCCUUGGCCACAAGUCUAGCUUUGAACCUUUCUAUUUCUCCACUAGACUUGUACUUGACCUUAUAAACCCAUUUACAGCCAAUGGGUUUUCUACCAGGGGGUAAAUCAACAAGUGUCCAGGUGUUAUUUCUGAAUAAGGCCUCCAUUUCCUUAUUCAUUGCCUCGACCCACCUAGGGUCUUUAGCAGCCUCAUCAUAACAAGUGGGUUCAAGAGUUUUAUUCAACAAACUAACAAAGCUAAAGUUUUCUUUAGACAAACAAGCAUAAUUCACAGUUUUAUCAAUACUAUACUUAGCAUUUCCACUUAACACAUAAUCCUCAAACCUUUUUGGAACAACUGAAGUCCUAGUGGACUUUCUAAGACCUAGACCAGCACCCUCAGAUAGGUUGGUCUCAUCACUUGGUGUUCCACUGUCCUCUGCCUCGCCAUAAAACCCAGUUUCACUACUUCCUUCAUAACCAGUUGGAACUUGCUGAGGUUGAUCAGCAAUACUGGUUAUGGUAGAUGUGGAGGGUCCUAAUGGCUGCUGAUCAUCACUGGAACUACCAUGAGAGCCAUUAUUACCCUCUUCAUCAUCGGGCAUUUGUGAAACUUCAGGUGUUUCAGUAUCAU
rnacentral:lncRNA from 1 species